rnacentral:pre_miRNA from 1 species
UCGUAUGGGUGAGCAAGGACAGUGGCUUCUUGAGAUGGAAUCUACUUUUGGUGAAGAAGCUGUGGA